AACGAACGCUGGCGGCAUGCCUAACACAUGCAAGUCGAACGAGACCUUCGGGUCUAGUGGCGCACGGGUGCGUAACGCGUGGGAACCUGCCUUUAGGUUCGGAAUAACUCAGAGAAAUUUGAGCUAAUACCGGAUGAUGUCUUCGGACCAAAGAUUUAUCGCCUUUAGAUGGGCCCGCGUUGGAUUAGCUAGUUGGUGGGGUAAAGGCUUACCAAGGCGACGAUCCAUAGCUGGUCUGAGAGGAUGAUCAGCCACACUGGGACUGAGACACGGCCCAGACUCCUACGGGAGGCAGCAGUGGGGAAUAUUGGACAAUGGGCGAAAGCCUGAUCCAGCAAUGCCGCGUGAGUGAUGAAGGCCUUAGGGUUGUAAAGCUCUUUUACCCGAGAUGAUAAUGACAGUAUCGGGAGAAUAAGCUCCGGCUAACUCCGUG
rnacentral:rRNA from 1 species